CGUGUGAGGCCGCCUCUGCCAAGCUGCCGGCUCCCCGACACGUGGUGGGGAAGCCAAACUUGGAGAGCUGAGCCAGCG
rnacentral:snoRNA from 1 species